AUGGUGAACUUUAUAGUAGAUCAGAUCUGAGCCACCAAGGACAAGAAGGCCAACAUCCAGAACGUGUCUCAUCACACACAUGGACCAUAUCAAGUACAUGCUGACAGAUUCACUGGUGUGUACAGCAGGCACGGGCUUCACAGACACAAGGAGGAGCAGGAGAGCUGUAUCACCAUCAAGUCCACCGCCCUGAACAACCUGAACUUCAUCAAGCAGAGCAAGGACAGGUCAGCUUCCACAUCAACCUCACUGACUCCUUGGGCCACGUUGACUUCUCUGUGGUGAUGGGUGACUCACAUCAAGGAUGGUGCUCUGGUCAUGGUGGACUAUGUGUCCAGCACAUGCCUGCAAACGGAGACGGUGCUGCAACAGGCCAUCACUGAGUGCAUCAAGCCAGUGCUGAUGAUGAACAAGAUGGACCACGCACUGCUGGAGCUGCAGCUGGAACCUGAGGCGCUCUACCACACCUUCCAGCACAUUGUAGAGAAUGUGAACAUCAUCAUCUCCACCUACCUCAAGGGAGAGUGGACCCAUGGUCAGCAUCAGGAUCAACCCUGUCCUGGGCAUCAUGGACUUUGACUCUGGCCUGCAAGGCUAGGCCUUCACCCUGAAGCAGUUUGCAGAGACAUUUGCCACCAAGUUGGCCACCAAGGGCAAGUGCCAGCUGGGGCCUGCCGAAUGUGCCAAGAAAGUAGAGGACAUGAUGAAGAGGCUGUGGGGGAACCAGUACUUCAACACAGCCAACCACAAGUUCAGCAAGAAUGCCAACAGCAAGAAGCUACGGUGCACUUUCUGCCAGUUCAUCCUUGACCCCUCUUCAAGAUUUUCGAUGCCAUCAUGAACUUCAAGAAGGAGGAGACAUCAAGCUGAUUGAGAAGCUGGACAUCAAGCUAGACUGUGAGGACAAGGGCAAAUAGGGGCAAGCCUCUGCUAAAGGCUGUGAUGCACCGCUGGCUGCCAGCCUGGGGUCGUUGCUAGAGAUGAUCACCAUCCACUUGCCUUUACUAGUCACCGCACAGAAGUACCACUGUGAGUUGUUCUAUGAGGGGCAGCCAGAUGAUGAGGCUGCCAUGGGCAUCAAAAGCUGUGACCCCGAAACGUCCCUUGAAGACCUACAUCUCCAAGAUGGUGUGACCUCUGACAAGGGGCACUUCUAUGCCUUUGAGUGCGUGUUCCGGGGGGUGGUGUCCACAGGCCUGGAGGUCUGCAUUAUGGGCCCCAACUACACUCCAGGGAAGAAGGAGGACCUAUACCUAAAGCCCAUGCAGAGAACCAUCCUGCUGAUGGGCCACUACAGAGGAUGUGUCCUGUGGCAACAUGGUGGGGCUCGUGGGUUUGGAACAUUUUCUGGUGAAGAAAAGCACCAUCACCACCUUCAAGCACACAACAUGCAUGUGAUGAAAUUCAGUUCAACAUCAUCCCUGUUGUCAGGGUGGCCUUGGAAGCCAAGAACCCUGCCUGCCGAAGCUGAUGGAGGGGCUCAAGUGGCUGGCCAACCCGGUGGUGCAGUGUAUCUUCAAGGAGUCUCACUGCAGGCACAGCCAUGCUGCAGCAUCUGGAGAUCUACCUCAAAGACCUGGAGGAAGAACACUCCUGCAUCCCCAUUAGGUAAGGCCCCACAGUGUCCUACCUGGAGACAGCAAGCAAGGAGUCAAACCUGCUAUUCCUGUCCAAGUCCCCCAACAAACACAACCAGCUCUGCAUGAAAGUCGGGCCCUUCACUGAUGGCCUUGCUGAGGACAUCGACAAGGGCGAGGUGUCUGCCCACCAGGAGCUUAAGGCACGUGUGUGUUACCUGGCUGAGAAUACGAGUGGGAUGUGGCUGAGGACUGCAAGAUUUGGUGCUUUGGGCUGGAUGGCAUGGCCUGAACACCCUCACUGACAUCACCAAGGGUAUAUAUUACCUCAGUGAAAUCAAGGAGAGCAUGGUGGCCAGCUUCCAGUGGGCCACUAAGGAGGGUGCACUCUGUGAGGCAAACAUGCAUGGUGUGAGCUUCGAUGUCCAUGAUGUGACCCAGCACGCUGAUGCCAUCCACUGUGGUAGUGGCCAGAUCAUCCCAUAGCCUGCUGUGGCCCCAAUGCCAGUGUGUUGACCUCACAGCCCCACCUCAUGGAGCCCAUCUACCUCGUGGAGAUCCAGUGUCUGGAGCAGGUGGUCGGUGGCAUCUAUGGAGUCCUGAACAGGAAGCAGGGCCACGUGUUUGAGGAGUCUGAGGGGGCCGACACACCCAUGUUCAUAGUAAAGGCCUGUCAAGGAGUCCUUUGGUGUCACCACCAACAAGGGGCUUUCCAAAGCCGACAGCCUGGCCUUCCUGCAGUGCAUGUUCUACUACUUGGAAGUCUCUGCCUGGAGACGCCUUUGAGCACAGCAGCUGCUCCAGCCACAGGGGUGGCGGAAUGCACAAGCGCAAAGGCCUGAAGCAGGGCAUCCGGUCCUGGACAACUUCGAAGACAAACUGUAG